rnacentral:tRNA from 1 species
UAAGUAAGGGCCGGUUAGGCAGUUGAUUGUUACUCAGAAAGAGCGUGUAAGACGCUUACUUAG